GGUCCGCUGGCUCAAUGGCAGAGCGUCUGACUACGAAUCAGGAAGGUUCCAGGUUCGACCCCUGGGUGGAUCG
rfam:Sordaria macrospora k-hell, WGS project CABT00000000 data, contig 2.3